UACAGAGGGUGCAAACGUUGCUCGGAAUCAUUGGGCGUAAAGCGCACGUAGGCGGCCAACUAAGUCAGACGUGAAAUCCCUCGGCUUAACCGGGGAACUGCGUCUGAUACUGGAUGGCUUGAGUUUGGGAGAGGGAUGCGGAAUUCCAGGUGUAGCGGUGAAAUGCGUAGAUAUCUGGAGGAACACCGGUGGCGAAGGCGGCAUCCUGGACCAACACUGACGCUGAGGAGCGAAAGCCAGGGGAGCAAACGGG
rnacentral:rRNA from 1 species